rnacentral:lncRNA from 1 species
GAAAACUAAACUAUAUACAUGUGUUCAACACGUGUACACAAAUAGAGGAAACUGAAUUUAUUUAUUUAUUUAUUAUUAUUAGUAUUAUUAUUAUUUUGCUAUGUACUGGGUUUCAAAUGGAAAGACAGAGAUUUGAUAUGAUUAAAUCAUUUUCCAAGUUAAUAAAAUAUUAUAUUUUCUUCCUAAUUAUCUUAAAAGACAAUCCUUUUUAUAAU